UCUUAUCAAGAGUGACGGAGGGAACAGGCCCUGUGAUGUCCGGCAACCUGCCGAUUUUACGGAUCGGUAAGGUGCCAAUUCCUGCGGCGAGGCGGUGCGACCGCCCGAGACCGAGAGAUGAG
rnacentral:ncRNA from 1 species